AUUGAACGCUGGCGGCAUGCUUUACACAUGCAAGUCGAACGGUAACAGGCCUUCGGGUGCUGACGAGUGGCGAACGGGUGAGUAAUGCAUCGGAACGUGCCCAGAGGUGGGGGAUAACGCAGCGAAAGCUGUGCUAAUACCGCAUGUGAUCUGAGGAUGAAAGCGGGGGACCAAGCAGCAAUGUUUGGCCUCGCGCCUCUGGAGCGGCCGAUGUCAGAUUAGGUAGUUGGUGGGGUAAAGGCCUACCAAGCCGACGAUCUGUAGCUGGUCUGAGAGGACGACCAGCCACACUGGGACUGAGACACGGCCCAGACUCCUACGGGAGGCAGCAGCGGGGAAUUUUGGACAAUGGGCGCAAGCCUGAUCCAGCAAUGCCGCGUGCGGGAAGAAGGCCUUCGGGUUGUAAGCCGCUUUUGUACGGAACGAAAAGGCUCUGGCUAAUACCUGGGGCUGAUGACGGUACCGUAAGAAUAAGCACCGGCUAACUACGUG
rnacentral:rRNA from 1 species